UUUCUUCUCUUCCCGCUAAACUCAUCUACUCACUUUUCCAAUUUUUAGUAGUGGGAAGGAUUUACAAAUACAUUCAAGGGUUCCUUGAGAGAGAGAGGGCAAGAUUCGACAUGGGAGAGGCUAGUUUGUGAAAGAAGGGGCAAUCAUGUUGCAGGAUUCGAACAGGAGCACCUAGCACAAGUAGGCCACUUUGAUGUCAACUUGGUAAUAGGAUAAGGUUUUUAUUGUGUCCAUGUUAUUUUCAUAAAUAAGGUCAUGAAAGACCAUUCUUGAUGUAAUAAAGGUCCUAUGGAUCAUUGUGUAGUGUUUUAGGUCCAAUAAGGGGUAAUGUUGUUACAAAUUGUCCAAAUUGUCAUUGUGGUGAAAAUGUAUAUUAAGGUGUUCAAUGUAGGAAGGUAUAUUGAACCUCCUUAAUCCUAUUUUUAAUAUUCUAUAGGCAUGGUGGUCUUAAUUUAGGUCUAUGAUAAGUUUUGGUCAAAAUUGUCAUUAUUGACAAAAGUUGUCAAUGCAACUUUGUGGAGCAACAUUAGUCAUUUGAUGCACUUUGUUAGGUAAGGUUUAAAAUACAGUUAAAUCCAUUUUCAGAGGCUUGGAAAUAAUUAAAAUAUCCCUAUCCUCGACCAAGAUGAGGGUCGGAUGUUGUAUUUUGAAGGAAAUCAGUAAAAUUUUGAGUUUUUCCCUGCA